UGGGGAAUUUUGGACAAUGGGCGAAAGCCUGAUCCAGCAAUGCCGCGUGUGUGAAGAAGGCCUUCGGGUUGUAAAGCACUUUUGUCCGGAAAGAAAUCCUUGGCUCUAAUACAGUCGGGGGAUGACGGUACCGGAAGAAUAAGCACCGGCUAACUACGUGCCAGCAGCCGCGGUAAUACGUAGGGUGCAAGCGUUAAUCGGAAUUACUGGGCGUAAAGCGUGCGCAGGCGGUUUGCUAAGACCGAUGUGAAAUCCCCGGGCUCAACCUGGGAACUGCAUUGGGUGACUGGCAGGCUAGAGUAUGGCAGAGGGGGGUAGAAUUCCACGUGUAGCAGUGAAAUGCGUAGAGAUGUGGAGGAAUACCGAUGGCGAAGGCAGCCCCCUGGGCCAAUACUGACGCUCAUGCACGAAAGCGUGGGGAGCAAACAGGAUUAGAUACCCUGGUAGUCCACGCCCUAAACGAUGUCAACUAGUUGUGGGGAUUCAUUUCCUAGUAACGUAGCUAACGCGUGAAGUUGACCGCCUGGGGAGUACGGUCGCAAGAUU
rnacentral:rRNA from 1 species